rnacentral:rRNA from 1 species
UACGAAGGGGGCUAGCGUUGCUCGGAAUUACUGGGCGUAAAGGGUGCGUAGGCGGGUCUUUAAGUCAGAGGUGAAAUCCUGGAGCUCAACUCCAGAACUGCCUUUGAUACUGAGGAUCUUGAGUUCGGGAGAGGUGAGUGGAACUGCGAGUGUAGAGGUGAAAUUCGUAGAUAUUAGGAAGAACACCAGUGGCGAAGGCGGCUCACUGGCCCGGUACUGACGCUGAGGCGCGAAAGCGUGGGGAGCAAACAGG